rnacentral:Y_RNA from 1 species
GGCUGGUCCGAAGGUAGUGAGUUAUCUCACUUGAUUAUGCACAGUCAGUUACAGAUUGAACUCCUUGUUCUACUACUCCCCCCACCACUACUGCACUUGACUAGUCUUCA